UACGAAGGGUGUAAGCGUUGUUCGGAUUUAUUGGGCGUAAAGCGCGCGCAGGCGGAUCAGCAAGUCAGAUGUGAAAUCUCGGGGCUCAACCCCGAAAGUGCGUCUGAAACUACUAAUCUAGAGUGUUGGAGAGGAAAGGGGAAUUUCUCAUGUAGGGGUAAAAUCCGUAGAGAUGAGAAGGAACACCAGAGGCGAAGGCGCCUUUCUGGCCAACUACUGACGCUGAGGCGCGAAAGCGUGGGGAGCAAACAGG
rnacentral:rRNA from 1 species